rnacentral:tRNA from 1 species
AGACAGUUAGUUUAAACAAAACACUUGAUUUCGGCUCAAGCACUUGUGGUUAAAAUCCACAACUAUCUA